ACCAGGAUGGCUGAAUGGUUAAGGCGUUGGACUUAAGAUCCAAUGAGCAUGUGCUCGUGUGGAUUUGAGCCCCAUUCUUGGUA